UACGAAGGGGGCUAGCGUUGCUCGGAAUCACUGGGCGUAAAGGGUGCGUAGGCGGGUCUUUUAAGUCAGGGGUGAAAUCCUGGAGCUCAACUCCAGAACUGCCUUUGAUACUGAGGAUCUUGAGUUCGGGAGAGGUGAGUGGAACUGCGAGUGUAGAGGUGAAAUUCGUAGAUAUUCGCAAGAACACCAGUGGCGAAGGCGGCUCACUGGCCCGAUACUGACGCUGAGGCACGGAAAGCGAUG
rnacentral:rRNA from 1 species